rnacentral:rRNA from 1 species
CCCUUAGAUGUUCUGGGCCGCACGCGCGCUACACUGACGAAGUCAGCGAGCAUGUCCUACGCCGACAGGUGCGGGGAAUCUUGUCAAACUUCGUCGUGAUGGGGAUUGAUUAUUGAAAUUCUUGAUCAUCAACGAGGAAUUCCUAGUAAGCGCAAGUCAGCAGCUUGCGUUGAUUACGUCCCUGCCCUUUGUACACACCGCCCGUCGCUACUACCGAUUGAAUGGUUUAGUGCGAUCUUCGGAUUGGCGCCACUGCGGCUCAGCAAUGGGCUCGGUGGAUGCCGAAAAGUUGAUCAAACUUGAUCAUUUAGAGGAAGUAAAAGUCGUAACA